rnacentral:misc_RNA from 1 species
AACGCAAAUUGCGCUCGAGGCUUCGGCCGAGAGCAUGCCUGCCUCAGUGUCGGUUUUACCUUCGCUUUCCCCUUUCAGUGGGUAGAGUGGAUCUGGCCGUCUCGGUCCUAACAGACCGGGUCAGCUGAAGCGCAGAGGCUUGAGCGGGAUCCCCUUUGACGUGGGAACAACAGACCGGUAGGUGAGCCCUUCCAUCGGAAGGAUCGCAUGCCGCUGCUGGACCCCGGGACCCGCUGGACGCCCAGCAGGAGACGGCGUGUGUGGCUCAAUCGCCACCGCUGCCAAACCAUUCAACCUGAGUUCAGGCAAGGGCACCCGCUGAACUUAA